UUGGAGGGCAAGUCUGGUGCCAGCAGCCGCGGUAAUUCCAGCUCCAAUAGCGUAUAUUAAAGUUGUUGCAGUUAAAAAGCUCGUAGUUGAAUUUCGGGGUCAGCAGGUUGGUCGUGCCUCUGGUAUGCACUGGUUUCGCUGAUUCCUCCUUUCUGAAGAACUGUAAUGUCAUUAAUUUGGUGUUGCAGGGAAACAGGACUGUUACUUUGAAAAAAUUAGAGUGUUUAAAGCAGGCUAACGCUUGAAUACAUUAGCAUGGAAUAAUGAAAUAGGACGUUUGAUCCUAUUUUGUUGGUUUCUAGGAUUGACGUAAUGAUUAAUAGGGAUAGUUGGGGGCAUUAGUAUUCAAUUGUCAGAGGUGAAAUUCUUGGAUUUAUUGAAGACUAACUACUGCGGAAGCAUUUGCCAAGGAUGUUUUCAUUAAUCAAGAACGAAAGUUAGGGGAUCGAAGACGAUCAGAUACCGUCGUAGUCUUAACCAUAAACUAUGCCGACUAGGGAUCGGAUGAUGUUAAUUUUUUAAUGACUCAUUCGGCGCCUUACGGGAAAC
rnacentral:rRNA from 1 species